UGUCACUGCCAGCCCAGAGCCCCUGCACUCCCCUGGGUCAGUGCCACAGCAGCAGAACCUUGUUGUCACAGCACAGCUCGUCUGGAGCUGGGCAGAUCAACCUGGCUGUAGCAGGGAACCCAGUCUGGCUCUCCCAGUUCAGUGAACAAGUCCCUGGGUGAACAAUGACAGGACAGGUUUAACCUGGAACAGACACCAGUCCCUUCCAGCCCUAAAUGCAGACGUGUCACUGGCAGGGAGCUGGGCAGAGCUAAGAGCCAGGCCAGGCAGGGUCUGGAUCCGGGGGCUCUGAGCUGCCUGCUCCAGAAGGUUCCAAACACUAGAACAGGCUGGUUUGUCCUGUGAGCAAGAGGACUCGGGUCAUGAUUUCUGUCUCCAGCCUGCGACCCCACGUGACACCUUGUCCCAAGCCAGGAUUGCACUGGAGGGUCAGAAACUCCUUGGGAAUGGCCUGAAGAGCCUGUUGGAGUGCUGGCCUGGAUCUGGGAGGAGCCAAGUAGCCUGGAGCUGUGAGGUUUUUCCUGUCAGAAAUCCCUGAUGGGGAUGUUUUCCCUGGCUGUUCCAAGGGGAAGGAGCAGCUCUGGAGUUGUUGCAGCCACAGGAUGCAGUGGGUGCAUGCCCUGAGAACCAGUUCAGGAUUGUUCAUCUGAGUCUGCCGCUGACCUGUGACUUCCAGGGCCUCUCCUGAUGUCCUGGAUAUUCCCAGGAAAGGAUAUUCCAAGGCUUGCCUUUUGAGCCAGCAAUUCCAGAGGCAGGGGAGGAGGCAGCCGUGCCCAGGAGGAAGAGGAGGAGGAGUGGGAGGAUGGAGACAGUGGCCACCAAAGGCUGGGGGAGCCACAGCUCCAGGUGGUGCUUUAGGAAAGGCCCUCCAGCCUGAGAAGGAGCUUUUGGCUCCGGACAAUUCCCAGUUCCCAGGAGCAGCAGGACCUGUGCUGUCCCCAGCAGGACAGGAAAACCCACCCAACUCCCCCCAUCUCUGCCAGAAGCUUUGGUGUUUGAGCAGCCAAACCCAGCAGGCUCUGGCCCCACUGGCCUGCCCUGGAGGGCCCCUGCCCUUCCCAUGGUGUGAGUGAGUCCCAGAGUGCUGCAAAUCCAGAGGGAUCUGCCCUGGUCCCUGCAGUGCCCAACCCCAGACAGAGAGAGCCCUGUCCAAGGGGCUGUGGCUCCUUGUCAGGAAUGUGGCAGCAGCCCCGGGAGCAGCUGGAGGACUCUGUGGAUCUGCUCCAGACUGAAAACCCCAGAGGAGCACCGAGGGCUGACACCUGCAGCCCAGCAGGCCUGGACCUCCAGAGGGGCUGGGACUGAUAAAAACUGAGUGAGCUGAGCCACCCACAGAAGGAUUUUUCUCAGGUUUACCAUCCCUGUUUGCAGCAGUGAGAGGUUUUAUUGUUUCAUAUUAUUAAUUCUUUAUGGUUGUGGGCAUUUUGUUGUUAAAUAAAUAGGUUUUUUCCACUUUUCUCCAAGGAAUUUCUUUUCCUGGACUGGCUGAGGAAGGGCAUUUUGGGUUUGCUUUCCAGAGGGACCCUACUCAGAGAUUUCCUCCCAAAUUUGCCCUGAACCAGGACAGCAGAUCAGGCAGGGGCAGGCAGGGAACUUUGGCAAUGCUGCUCUGCCCCAGAAAGUGUCACUGCCACCUGCAGGGAUGGCAGCACCCAUGCCCAGCGCUCCCC